CCCUUAGAUGUUCUGGGCUGCACGCGCGCUACACUGAAGCGUUCAACGAGUAUUCACCUUGCCCGGGAGGGUUGGGUAAUCUUUUGAAAACGCUUCGUGAUGGGGAUAGAUUAUUGCAAUUAUUAAUCUUCAACGAGGAAUUCCUAGUAAGCGCGAGUCAUCAGCUCGUGCUGAUUACGUCCCUGCCCUUUGUACACACCGCCCGUCGCUACUACUGAUUGGAUGUUUAAGCGAGGUUCUCGAACUGCUAGUGACUGAUCUUCGGUGAGGUCGCAGUGUGGGAAGUGAACCUAGCUUUGGUGUCUAGAGGAAGUAAAAGUCGUAACA
rnacentral:rRNA from 1 species